rnacentral:rRNA from 1 species
ACAUGCAGUCGAGCGGAUGACGGGAGCUUGCUCCUUGAUUCAGCGGCGGACGGGUGAGCAAUGCCUAGGAAUCUGCCUGGUAGUGGGGGACAACGUUUCGAAAGGAACGCUAAUACCGCAUACGUCCUACGGGAGAAAGCAGGGGACCUUCGGGCCUUGCGCUAUCAGAUGAGCCUAGGUCGGAUUAGCUAGUUGGUGGGGUAAUGGCUCACCAAGGCGACGAUCCGUAACUGGUCUGAGAGGAUGAUCAGUCACACUGGAACUGAGACACGGUCCAGACUCCUACGGGAGGCAGCAGUGGGGAAUAUUGGACAAUGGGCGAAAGCCUGAUCCAGCCAUGCCGCGUGUGUGAAGAAGGUCUUCGGAUUGUAAAGCACUUUAAGUUGGGAGGAAGGGCAGUAAGUUAAUACCUUGCUGUUUUGACGUUACCGACAGAAUAAGCACCGGCUAACUCUGUGCCAGCAGCCGCGGUAAUACAGAGGGUGCAAGCGUUAAUCGGAAUUACUGGGCGUAAAGCGCGCGUAGGUGGUUUGUUAAGUUGGAUGUGAAAGCCCCGGGCUCAACCUGGGAACUGCAUCCAAACUGGCAAGCUAGAGUACGGUA